rnacentral:rRNA from 1 species
UGAGGAAUAUUGGUCAAUGGGCGAGAGCCUGAACCAGCCAAGUCGCGUGAGGGAAGACGGCCCUACGGGUUGUAAACCUCUUUUGUCAGGGAGCAAGAACAGAUACGUGUAUCUGAGCGAGAGUACCUGAAGAAAAAGCAUCGGCUAACUCCGUGCCAGCAGCCGCGGUAAUACGUAGGUGACAAGCGUUGUCCGGAUUUACCGGGUGUAAAGGGCGCGUAGGCGGACUGUCAAGUCAGUCGUGAAAUACCGGGGCUUAACCCCGGGGCUGCGAUUGAAACUGACAGCCUUGAGUAUCGGAGAGGAAAGCGGAAUUCCUAGUGUAGCGGUGAAAUGCGUAGAUAUUAGGAGGAACACCAGUGGCGAAGGCGGCUUACUGGACGGUAACUGACGUUGAGGCUCGAAAGCGUGGGGAGCAAACAGGAUUAGAUACCCUGGUAGUCCACACCGUAAACGAUGAUUACUAGGUGUUGGAGGAUUGACCCCUUCAGUGCCGCAGUUAACACAAUAAGUAAUCCACCUGGGGAGUACGACCGCAAGGUUGAAACUCAAAGGAAUUGACGGGGGCCCGCACAAGCAGUGGAGUAUGUGGUUUAAUUCGAAGCAACGCGAAGAACCUUACCAGGUCUUGACAUCCUUCCGACCGCACCUUAAUCGGUGCUUUCCUUCGGGACAGAAGAGACAGGUGGUGCAUGGUUGUUGUCAGCUCGUGUCGUGAGAUGUUGGGUUAAGUCCCGCAACGAGCGCAGCCCCUAUCUUCAGUAGCCAGCAGGUAAGGCUGGGCACUCUGUGGAGACUGCCAGGGAUAACCUGGAGGAAGGUGGGGAUGACGUCAAAUCAUCAUGCCCCUUAUGAUCUGGGCUACACACGUGCUACAAUGGCGUAAACAAAGGGAGGCAAAGCCGCGAGGUGGAGCAAAUCCCAAAAAUAACGUCUCAGUUCGGACUGCAGUCUGCAACUCGACUGCACGAAGCUGGAAUCGCUAGUAAUCGCGAAUCAGAAUGUCGCGGUGAAUACGUUCCC